UACGUAGGGCGCAAGCGUUAUCCGGAUUUAUUGGGCGUAAAGAGCUCGUAGGCGGUUUGUCGCGUCUGCCGUGAAAGUCCGGGGCUCAACUCCGGAUCUGCGGUGGGUACGGGCAGACUAGAGUGCGGUAGGGGAGACUGGAAUUCCUGGUGUAGCGGUGAAAUGCGCAGAUAUCAGGAGGAAUACCGGUGGCGAAAGCGACUCUCUGGACGGCAACUGACGCUGAGGCACGAAAGCGUGGGUAGCGAACAGG
rnacentral:rRNA from 1 species